UACGCACGCUGGCGGCGUGCUUAACACAUGCAAGUCGAACGGAAAGGCCCUGCUUUUGUGGGGUGCUCGAGUGGCGAACGGGUGAGUAACACGUGAGUAACCUGCCCUUGACUUUGGGAUAACUUCAGGAAACUGGGGCUAAUACCGGAUAGGAGCUCCUGCUGCAUGGUGGGGGUUGGAAAGUUUCGGCGGUUGGGGAUGGACUCGCGGCUUAUCAGCUUGUUGGUGGGGUAGUGGCUUACCAAGGCUUUGACGGGUAGACGGCCUGAGAGGGUGACCGGCCACAUUGGGACUGAGAUACGGCCCAGACUCCUACGGGAGGCAGCAGUGGGGAAUAUUGCACAAUGGGCGGAAGCCUGAUGCAGCAACGCCGCGUGCGGGAUGACGGCCUUCGGGUUGUAAACCGCUUUCGCCUGUGACGAAGCGUGAGUGACGGUAAUGGGUAAAGAAGCACCGGCUAACUACGUG
rnacentral:rRNA from 1 species